rnacentral:rRNA from 1 species
AUUGAACGCUGGCGGCAGGCUUAACACAUGCAAGUCGAGCGGGGGAAGGUAGCUUGCUACCGGACCUAGCGGCGGACGGGUGAGUAAUGCUUAGGAAUCUGCCUAUUAGUGGGGGACAACAUCUCGAAAGGGAUGCUAAUACCGCAUACGUCCUACGGGAGAAAGCAGGGGAUCUUCGGACCUUGCGCUAAUAGAUGAGCCUAAGUCGGAUUAGCUAGUUGGUGGGGUAAAGGCCUACCAAGGCGACGAUCUGUAGCGGGUCUGAGUGGAUGAUCCGCCACAAUGGGAAUGUAACCCGGCCCAGACUCUAACGGGCGGUAGCAGUGGGGAAUAUUGGACAAUGGGGGGAACCCUGAUCCAGCCACUCCGCGUGUCUGAAGAAGGCCUUAUGGUUGUAAAGCACUUUAAGCGAGGAGGAGGCUACUUUAGUUAAUACCUUGAGAUGGUGGACGUUACUCGCAGAAUAAGCACCGGCUAACUCUGUGCCAGCCGCCGCCGUAA